UUUCAAAAGACUAAUGAAGCUACAUUUUCGAAAGCAAUGCAUGAUUAUGUAAAUAGUUUGUAUGUUUGUUAUUUAUUUAUGUUUGCUAAUUGUCUAAGGAAUAAUUAUGUAAAUAGUUUGUAUUCUGUAUAUGUAUUAGUCUUAAUCUUACACGUCCCCUAUGGAAAUCAUCGAAAGAUGUUAGGGCUAACGUGUUUAAAUAAAUUUUUAUGUAUGUAUGUAUGUAUGUAU